GCUGCCCCCCAGUUUGGAACAAAACGAGCACAGAGCAGAGGCAGGGAGGGCUUAAUUCGGGGCUCCGGUGGCGGGCCUCGCCGGCCGUGUGCUCCGGCGGCGAACUCGGGCGAUCGAUCUCGCCACGGUAAUGACGUACGGCGCUCCGAGGUCCAGCGCUCCAUCCCCGCGCCACCAUUCCCCACCUCGGCGCCACGCCCGGCGACAGAUCCGCAUCCGCCGACGCCGGGCAGGAGAACUCCAGCCUUCAGGGAAUGAUGGGGUCAAUGGCAAGUAUUGCUCCAAGUGCCAGGUCAACUACAGCGAUGGGACUUGAAGAUCAUGCCAACAACUUUUCCUCGCCGUCGACGGCCACCGCGUGCAAGGAGGGAGACGCGCUGAACUCUCCUCCCUGCCGGCACUCCCGCCGCCCGCCGCCAUCUCUGCCUGGCUUCCCCUUCACAGUGGCUGCGCCGUUCGCUUCCUUCCCCAGAGGCCACGGCCUCCUCCUCACAGAACUGCCUCCUCUAUGGAUGAUGAUUUGGGCUAUGUCAAGAUUAUUAGGACGAGAAGUAAGAUGAGCUUGCUAUUGUCAAGAUGAUUGGGGCUUUGCUAGGCACAAGUGCCUCUUGUUGGAAUUUGUCCAUCUGUAGGAGAAUCUCCGUUGUCACCGGAUCCAACGAACCAAGGCCAGAAUGUAGAUUUUCACCUUGAAGAGCAGUCCGAGCAUAUCCGAGCAAUGCCUUCAACAAGGUAACGAUGUAAAAACAUUGCCAUUGGCAGGUAUAACUAACACGGGUGAUGGGUCAGACCUAGGCUUUCACCUUGGAGCUCGAGACCGGGUGCUUGAGUAACACCACCAUCGACACCACUCAUGUGUUGUCGCCACCACUUUUUAGCGAUCCCAACAACUAGAUGCGAUGUGCGACCGCCACUAGUGCACAACCAUCUCUCCGCCUCAAGUUGUCACCCAUAGUUUGCAUCUCCCAGCCGAAGCCAACCAUUGGAUCUAGAGAGAGGAACCCUCACAAAGAUCUUUUGGUGGCCACCGCAGUCAGCAGCGUGUCCGCCGCCACAGGACGGAGUGGUCACCACAAGGACUAACACCGUUGGUGGAGCACACCGCCGUCGACUACCACCUUGUCUAAGGGAACCCUGCUCAGGCCCGUCCGCCACUGGGUCGACAUGGCCAGAGCUGGACCAUGAAAGACAUAUCACCAUCGCUGACAUGCGCUCGUGUGGAGCACAGCCGCUGCUAGAAUAGAAGCGCCAGAUCAGUGUUGUGCCUCCUGACCGAAGCAUUGCGCCCACCCUGAGCAUGUCCUCCGCCGCAGGCCGGAGUGGUCACCACAAUGACCAACACCGUUGGUGGAGCACACCACCGUCGGCUACCACCUCGCCGGAGAGAACCCUGCACAGGCCCGUUCGCCCCUGGGUUGACAUGGCCAGAGUUGGAGCAUGGAAUACAUAUCACCAGCGUUGACGUGCGCCUGUGCGGAGAGCAGCCGCUGCUAGGUCAAAAGUGCACAACCGCUAGAUCGACGUCGUGCCUCUUGACCGAAGCACUACGCCCAUCCCGAGCACGUCCGCCGUCACACCUCCACCACGCCGCCACACCGCAGCCUCGCAUCUGUGCCACCGUCGGAAACCCGCGGUCGCGGCACCGCGCACCAUGUUGAGGCUCACACCCACGCAAAGUCAGGACGUCCUGCGCCGCGAGCCAACCCCGCGAGAGGGAUGAGAAGCCUUGCCGCCCCCGGCGCCGCACUCUGGCAGCACCCUUCGGCGACGGCGAUGGAGAGGAGGGGAUGGGAGGCGACCAAGUUUUGGCGGCGCUAGAGCUCCCCCGGGAGUGGCAUGUGACCUAUGUUUUUAAAGCGUCCCUAAGGCGACGCCUAGGCGUCGAAGCGCUCCCCCUCCGCUUUGGAAAAUCGACCGCUUUGGGCGCCUAGGCGUCCAAAGCGCCCGCCUAGGCGCCAAAGCGCCCCCCCUCCCUAAGGCGGUAAGGUGUCGCCUUAAAAACAUAGCAUGUGACGAUCUAUUUUUUGCGGCUGCUUGCUGAACUUUCCUAAGGUUAGUUAAGUAGAACUAGAGCCACAAGUUGCAAGACUAAAAAAAAUCUUACCACACCUUAAGAGUGUAUGUCAUGUAGGGCCAUAAUGUGGCAAAAGAAUGUUUAAAUAGCAGGUUAUGGCAUAUAGCGGCGACCUUUAAGUAGAACUAGAGCCACAAGUUGCAAGACUAAAAAAAUCUUACCACACCUUAAGAGUGUAUGUCAUGUAGGGGCAUAAUGUGACAAAGAAUGUUUAAAUCUCACCACCGCUAUAGCUGGGCUAUAGCGGUAAAUUAUACAUGAAAUCAUUUAGCGGCAACAUGCUCAAACAGCUAUAGUGGAGCUAUAGCGGGCUAUUUAAAACUAUGGGCAAAACACAUCUUGCCUGAGGUGUGGCUUGAACCAAACAACCACCUAAGAGUAUCUACAAUCCUAGUUGCCUAAUUUGGGGCCCUAUGCUCCCGCGGACAUGGUCGGGUGCGUCCGCGUCAGUGACCGGGCACGCCCCUUUUGUCCCUGUCCACAACCAUAAUCCCCAUAUGUCGGCACCCAAAUCCAUACAUAACAAUGCAUAGGUACGUAUAUCAUCAUACAAAAGCAUAAACAAAACACUCGGACAUAGAUAGGGGAAUCUGACAUAGAUAAGUUCAUACAACUCCAUCCAAAAGGGCCGCUGGAGUUCAUACUUAACUAAAAUGCAAGAUUAAAGAGUAAUUAAACAUAGAGAGGCGGCCGGAGUUCACCACUAACCUCGCCGAUCGCUUCCCCUUGGGGUCUCGGGAGCGGCGGUUGUCCUCGGCGUUGGCGACGGGUGAAGCAUCCUUGUCCGUCAUGUCGCUAUCCGAGGAGGAGCUCAUGAUCCCCGCCAUGCGUCGGGCAGCGCGGUUCUGCUCCGCCGCGAGCCAUGCGGCUCUCUCCGACACCACCGCCCUUUGCCUCGCCAACCUCUCAAACUUCUUCGCAAAGGUGUACGGACAACAUAGAUAGGGGAAUCUGACAUUUUUGUGAUGCCGAGGGCAGGCGCCCAUCUCUGCAAAGGUGUACGGACGACAGAUUGGAUAGCGGAGCGCCUCGACAUCGUUGAAGGCGGGCGACAGCGGCCCGAUGCAGAUAUGUAGGACCUACAACUGGAGCGGUUCGACACGGCCUGCGCCGCAAUCUUCAUUGUGCGGCUAUAUGCGUGCUCCUCGGUCCCCGGCUGUCGCUGUCGCAGCCACAGGUUCGGGAUGCGGGCACUAGCACUCAACGCCGCCCAGGGAGGAGCAGGUGCUGGCGGUGUCAGGCGCCACUUGUCGCCCUACGACCGCGGGGCGCCCCAGAGCUGCUCCUGCCCAUCCUAGCCGCUAGCGACACUGUGGACAAGGAGCUCCCGCCCCGGCCCAUUUGUGAGCGGUGGAGGGUAAUACGAACGAGCUUGGCCUAGUCGAUCUCGUUGGAGCCGCUGUCGGAUGCACUUUCGGCCAUGGUGGAAGGGAGGGGAGAGGUUGGGGAGGGGACGGAGUGGAGCGGAGAGGUCGAGAGAGUGUGGUUUACAAGGGUUCUGUCGUUCAGCAGGGGUAUUUGUGGGGACAGGGGUGUGAACGGACGCUGUUUGGGCGCGUCUGGGCCUUCCCAUAUCCACGCCACAUAUGAGCUGGGUAUGGGGGUUGCCGAACAGCCUGGACAUUUGAAUGCGUUUGGGGAAGGUCGGUUGGGUGGCAUAUUUUGGUCUGGGAAGGCCUCCCAGGCGUUUGGGGGCGAGUAAAUUGCUCAAAACCACUACAUUUGUGGCUAGGGUACUACUAAACCACCGCUUUUGCCGAAAACCACAAAAAACCACCAAUUCUAUGACAAGUGAGUAACAAAUCAUACUAAUUCUGAAAUGAGCUGCGACUAAACACAAAACCGUCCGGUUGGACCCACAUGUCCGAUCGAUGUGGCGAAUCUAUGUGGACAAUGCACCGAUGUGGCAUAUCUUCUUUAACGUAGACACCCCUGAAUAUUAGGCUGGUCAUAGUGGAGAGUAACUUAGACUAGUGUCAUGCAUAUGACACUAAUCUAUGCUACUAACUUCAUAGUGGAGAGUAACGUAGACGUAGUGUCAUAGGUGAUUGUAUUAAUUAGCUUGUAGACUCAUUUUGUCUUGAAAAGUGUUGUCUGAUGGUAAUAUAUUAUAUUACUCCAAAUACCUCUCUCCUCAUUAACUCCAUGCCACAUAAGCAAACUUAUCUUGGGGUGUGUUAUAUUACUACCUAAGUUACUCCCACUAUGACCAGCCUUAAACAAAAAACGCAAUCAGGGCCCUCCCCCUCCCCGUGUACAAUUGAGCGCACCCAGGCCCUUUCUUCGCCGGUGACAGGCGGCGCCGUUGGGAUGGAGGCCGCCGACCAGCGCCGCGCACUCUGCCCUGGCCCUGCCAUCCGCCAUCGGGGGAGGCCGCGACCCUGCCAGCGAGCUGGGUGGCCGAGGGAGACAAAGUACGCCGGGACGCGUUCUGGGGACGACCCGAACGAGGACGCCAAUGAGUGGGGCCAUAUCGUGUCGCCGCGACUGAUGUGGGCCGAGGCCUGGGACCUGCUCCCUCGCCAAUUGAAGCCCAGGGUGGACUACAACCGCGUGGUUAUCGUCUCCAGCAGCGCAGCAGCACGGCGACAUCAGGCCACUCCUUCGAGGACGUGCUUGACCCGGCGCGGGGCGGUUGAGCGCCGGCGAGUCCGGCCUAUCCGUAUCCACACAGAUAGGAAGGGGGGGGGGGCGGGUGGAGCACCAGCAAGAACAACGGCAACAACCCCAGGCCACGAGCACCUUGCUCAAUGAUAACCCACAAGUAUAGGGGAUCGCAACAGUUUUCGAUAAGUAAGAGUGUCGAACCCAACAAGGAGCUAAAGGUAGAAUAAAUAUUCCCUCAAGUUCUAUUGACCAUCGAUACAACUCUACGCACGCUUGAC